rnacentral:rRNA from 1 species
GAUGAACGCUAGCGGCGGGCCUAAUACAUGCAAGUCGAACGGUAACAUCAGAGCUUGCUCUGGAUGACAAGUGGCGCACGGGUGCGUAACGCGUAUGCAAUUUGCCUUCAACUGGGGAAUAGCCCAUGGAAACGUGGAUUAAUACCCCAUAGCAUCUUAAAAUCGCAUGAUUUAAAGAUUAAAGUUUUUCGGUUGAAGAUGAGCAUGCGUCCAAUUAGCUCGUUGGUGAGGUAACGGCUCACCAAGGCUACGAUUGGUAGGGGGUCUGAGAGGAUGAUCCCCCACACUGGCACUGAGACACGGGCCAGACUCCUACGGGAGGCAGCAGUAGGGAAUAUUGGGCAAUGGGCGAAAGCCUGACCCAGCCACGCCGCGUGCAGGAAGAAGGCGCUCUGCGUUGUAAACUGCUUUUAUAUAAGAAGAAAAAGCCUCCGAGGGGGAAAUUGACGGUACUAUAUGAAUAAGCACCGGCUAACUACG